AUACCCGAAUGGGGAAACCCAGUGUGAUUCGUCACACUAUCAUUAACUGAAUCCAUAGGUUAAUGAGGCGAACCGGGGGAACUGAAACAUCUAAGUACCCCGAGGAAAAGAAAUCAACCGAGAUUCCCCCAGUAGCGGCGAGCGAACGGGGAGGAGCCCAGAGCCUGAAUCAGCAUGUGUGUUAGUGGAAGCGUCUGGAAAGGCGCGCGAUACAGGGUGACAGCCCCGUACACAAAAGCGCAUGUGCUGUGAGCUCGAUGAGUAGGGCGGGACACGUGGUAUCCUGUCUGAAUAUGGGGGGACCAUCCUCCAAGGCUAAAUACUCCUGACUGACCGAUAGUGAACCAGUACCGUGAGGGAAAGGCGAAAAGAACCCCGGCGAGGGGAGUGAAAAAGAACCUGAAACCGUGUACGUACAAGCAGUGGGAGCACCCUUUGGGGUGUGACUGCGUACCUUUUGUAUAAUGGGUCAGCGACUUAUAUUCUGUAGCAAGGUUAACCGUAUAGGGGAGCCGUAGGGAAACCGAGUCUUAACCGGGCGUUAAGUUGCAGGGUAUAGACCCGAAACCCGGUGAUCUAGCCAUGGGCAGGUUGAAGGUUGGGUAACACUAACUGGAGGACCGAACCGACUAAUGUUGAAAAAUUAGCGGAUGACCUGUGGCUGGGGGUGAAAGGCCAAUCAAACCGGGAGAUAGCUGGUUCUCCCCGAAAGCUAUUUAGGUAGCGCCUCGUGAAUUCAUCUCCGGGGGUAGAGCACUGUUUCGGCUAGGGGGCCAUCCCGGCUUACCAACCCGAUGCAAACUGCGAAUACCGGAGAAUGUUAUCACGGGAGACACACGGCGGGUGCUAACGUCCGUCGUGAAGAGGGAAACAACCCAGACCGCCAGCUAAGGUCCCAAAGUCAUGGUUAAGUGGGAAACGAUGUGGGAAGGCCCAGACAGCCAGGAUGUUGGCUUAGAAGCAGCCAUCAUUUAAAGAAAGCGUAAUAGCUCACUGGUCGAGUCGGCCUGCGCGGAAGAUGUAACGGGGCUAAACCAUGCACCGAAGCUGCGGCAGCGACGCUGAUGCGUUGUUGGGUAGGGGAGCGUUCUGUAAGCCUGUGAAGGUGGCCUGUGAGGGUUGCUGGAGGUAUCAGAAGUGCGAAUGCUGACAUAAGUAACGAUAAAGCGGGUGAAAAGCCCGCUCGCCGGAAGACCAAGGGUUCCUGUCCAACGUUAAUCGGGGCAGGGUGAGUCGACCCCUAAGGCGAGGCCGAAAGGCGUAGUCGAUGGGAAACGGGUUAAUAUUCCCGUACUUGGUGUUACUGCGAAGGGGGGACGGAGAAGGCUAUGUUGGCCGGGCGACGGUUGUCCCGGUUUAAGCGUGUAGGUGUGUGUUCCAGGUAAAUCCGGUUCACUUUAACACUGAGGCGUGACGACGAGGCACUACGGUGCUGAAGCAACAAAUGCCCUGCUUCCAGGAAAAGCCUCUAAGCAUCAGGUAACAUCAAAUCGUACCCCAAACCGACACAGGUGGUCAGGUAGAGAAUACCAAGGCGCUUGAGAGAACUCGGGUGAAGGAACUAGGCAAAAUGGUGCCGUAACUUCGGGAGAAGGCACGCUGACACGUAGGUGAAGUGAUUUACUCAUGGAGCUGAAGUCAGUCGAAGAUACCAGCUGGCUGCAACUGUUUAUUAAAAACACAGCACUGUGCAAACACGAAAGUGGACGUAUACGGUGUGACGCCUGCCCGGUGCCGGAAGGUUAAUUGAUGGGGUCAGCGCAAGCGAAGCUCCUGAUCGAAGCCCCGGUAAACGGCGGCCGUAACUAUAACGGUCCUAAGGUAGCGAAAUUCCUUGUCGGGUAAGUUCCGACCUGCACGAAUGGCGUAAUGAUGGCCAGGCUGUCUCCACCCGAGACUCAGUGAAAUUGAACUCGCUGUGAAGAUGCAGUGUACCCGCGGCAAGACGGAAAGACCCCGUGAACCUUUACUAUAGCUUGACACUGAACAUUGAGCCUUGAUGUGUAGGAUAGGUGGGAGGCUUUGAAGUGUGG
rnacentral:rRNA from 1 species